rnacentral:tRNA from 1 species
GGCGUUGUGGCUCAGCGGUAGAGCACUCACCUAGUAUGUGUGAGGUCCUGGGUUUGAUCCUCAGCACCA